rnacentral:rRNA from 1 species
GACGAACGCUGGCGGCGUGCUUAACACAUGCAAGUCGAACGGAAAGGCCCUGCUUUUGUUGCUUUCUCGUUUGGCGAACGGGUGAGUAACACGUGAGUAUCCUGCCCUUGACUUUGGGAUAACUUCAGGAAACUGGGGCUAUUACCGGAUAUAAGCUCCUGCUGCAUGGUGGGGGUUGGAAAGUUUCGGCGGUUGUGGAUGGACUCGCGGCUUAUCCGCUUGUUGGUGUGGUAGUGGCUUACCAAGGCUUUGACGGCUAGCCGGCCUGAGAGGGGUACCGGCGACAUGGGGACUGAGAGAGGGACCAGAAGCAUACGGUAGGCAGUAGGGGGGAAUAUGGCACAAUAAGCGGAAGCCAGAGGAGGAAACGCCGGGAGCGGGAUGACGGGCUACGGGGGGUGAACCGAUGUGGCAUGUGACGAAGAGGGAGUGACGGUAAUGGGUAAAGAAGCAACGGCUAACUACGUG